rnacentral:rRNA from 1 species
UGGGGAAUCUUCCGCAAUGGACGAAAGUCUGACGGAGCAACGCCGCGUGAGUGAAGACGGCCUUCGGGUUGUAAAGCUCUGUUAUUCGGGAAGAACGAUUCGUUUGUGAACAAUGAACGGAAGUGACGGUACCGAAAGAGAAAGCCACGGCUAACUACGUGCCAGCAGCCGCGGUAAUACGUAGGUGGCAAGCGUUGUCCGGAAUUAUUGGGCGUAAAGAGCGCGUAGGCGGUAUGGUAAGUCUGUCUUAGAAGUGCGGGGCUUAACCCCGUGAGGGGACAGAGACUGUCAUACUGGAGUCUCGGAGAGGAAAGCGGAAUUCCUAGUGUAGCGGUGAAAUGCGUAGAGAUUAGGAAGAACACCGGUGGCGCAGGCGGCUUUCUGGACGAGCACUGACGCUGAGGCGCGAAAGCGUGGGGAGCGAACAGG